UAGGGAAUCUUCGGCAAUGGACGAAAGUCUGACCGAGCAACGCCGCGUGAGUGAAGAAGGUUUUCGGAUCGUAAAACUCUGUUGUUAGAGAAGAACAAGGACGUUAGUAACUGAACGUCCCCUGACGGUAUCUAACCAGAAAGCCACGGCUAACUACGUGCCAGCAGCCGCGGUAAUACGCAGGUGGCAAGCGUUGUCCGGCUUUAUUGGGCGUAAAGCGAGCGCAGGCGGUUUCUUAAGUCUGAUGUGAAAGCCCCCGGCUCAACCGGGGAGGGUCAUUGGAAACUGGGAGACUUGAGUGCAGAAGAGGAGAGUGGAGUUCCAUGUGUAGCGGUGAAAUGCGUAGAUAGAUGGAGGAACGCCAGUGGCUGAGGCGGCUCUCUGGUCUGUAACUGACGCUGAGGCUAGAAAGCGUGGGGGGCAAACAGG
rnacentral:rRNA from 1 species